CAGUCCGAAGUUUGAAAGGUCGUCCGCAUGUCGGGUACAAUCCUAGUCUCGAUCAUUACUUGAGAAGUUUAAGACUAAAGGGAUGAGCUUACGGAAGCUCAGUGUGAGUCAAAAUUACAGAACAUCAUAUAAACAUUCAUAUCAGAUAUAAUAGUCAACAUUACCAAUCCAUACCGUUGCAUAACAAUAUUCAAUCGCUGUAUGAGCAUACUAUUUUGUAUGAUGCAAUGUAAAAAGGGUCCUACCCAACCAUUCACUGUACACCACGUGUUCUCCAGAACCCAUCUACCGAACUCUAGAUAGUGCGAGCUGAAGCUCGAUAUGGAUAAACCACCAGUAACAGUAAUGCAGAUAAAUUGCCGGUAAAAGUGCAGUCAAGUUGCCAGUAAUGUGGACUAGCCACCAAUGUUACAGAUAAGCUGCUAGUAAUGUGAUUAAAUUGCCCAAUCUCCUCUAUACUCCAUAGUGCACUGAAAAUAAUAUUGUGGACUUUAAAUGUCAUUGGUACUCCACGAAAUUCUUCAAUUAACCACAAAUAACCACCCAAUGCAGAUGCGAUAUGUCAUACAAUCAAUAAACACAUCAUGCUUCCAAUAGUAAUUUCGAUACAAUGACAUGCUUAACAUGCAUAACAAUAAACAAUAUUGGUGUAUGCCUUACUUACUUUUCAUUUAAUGGUAACAGAGGCAUGCGCACCUGCCUUCCAUAUAGCCAAUAUCACAUAUGGUAUAUAAUUUAAAUACAUACAAGCUCAAUCUCAAUUAUGGCAUAUUACAUGCAUAUCAAUCAGCGUUUCAAAAAUUCAACGUGCUAUACAUGCAUUCAACACAAUUUUUAGCACGGAUUUAGCAAUCAGAGACAUAACAUAUCAAACAUGUGAUCAACCAAAUUAUAUCACAAAAUCAUACAUUACAUAUAGCUCGUACACAAUUCAAUCGGUCCUAACAAAGCCUUUUACAUUCGGGUUUCCUAUUUAAAUACGUACCUUGCUCGAUACUCUAUUUAUUAGCUCUUAGGUCAUUCAGCCAUGCUAAAACCAACAAGCAUAACUACCAUUUUAAAACAUAUGUUAAGAUUUUUAGACUAAUUCAGCAAAGGGAAAGACCAACACCUUAAUUCGUAACACGCAACACUAAACCAUAAAAUCCGCACUGCUGCACUUAAGCCUUAGAUGAGAUUAGAUCCAAAAACAACACUCAAUACAUUAAAAUACGGUUAAUGACCAGCCUUGAAACGCCCCUAAGGGUUCGGACAAAGUAGUGUCACAUUAACGAAUUUUCAGAUUCGAAAUGACAAGCGAAUUUACACUGAGUUGAUGCAAAAUGAGGGUGCGGACGAGAUCUGACUUCAUUGCUGACUCAGAACGUUCCAAUCAACACCUACGAUUAAAUUAACACUUAAAAUCAGUAAUGAUCAAUUAAAGGUCUUAGAGCAUUCGACUCACCCAGAAAAUUUAACAAAAUUAAUACAGCACAAUAACUCGCUUAAAUCAACGUUUACACUUCACGUUAACUAGAUCUAAGAUGUUGUAUGAUCGAGAUCGG
rnacentral:lncRNA from 1 species